rnacentral:rRNA from 1 species
AGCGAGUCUGCCUUGAAGAUCGGAGUGCUUGCACUCUGUGAAACAAGAUACAGGCUAGCGGCGGACGGGUGAGUAACACGUGGGUAACCUGCCCAAGAGAUCGGGAUAACACCUGGAAACAGAUGCUAAUACCGGAUAACAACAGAUGAUGCCUAUCAACUGUUUAAAAGAUGGUUCUGCUAUCACUCUUGGAUGGACCUGCGGUGCAUUAGCUAGUUGGUAGGGUAACGGCCUACCAAGGCGAUGAUGCAUAGCCGAGUUGAGAGACUGAUCGGCCACAUUGGGACUGAGACACGGCCCAAACUCCUACGGGAGGCAGCAGUAGGGAAUCUUCCACAAUGGACGCAAGUCUGAUGGAGCAACGCCGCGUGAGUGAAGAAGGGUUUCGGCUCGUAAAGCUCUGUUGUUGGUGAAGAAGGACAGGGGUAGUAACUGACCUUUGUUUGACGGUAAUCAAUUAGAAAGUCACGGCUAACUACGUGCCAGCAGCCGCGGUAAUACGUAGGUGGCAAGCGUUGUCCGGAUUUAUUGGGCGUAAAGCGAGUGCAGGCGGUUCGAUAAGUCUGAUGUGAAAGCCUUCGGCUCAACCGGAGAAUUGCAUCAGAAACUGUCGAGCUUGAGUACAGAAGAGGAGAGUGGAACUCCAUGUGUAGCGGUGAAAUGC